UCCAGACUCCUACGGGAGGCAGCAGUGGGGGAUAUUGGACAAUGGGGGAAACCCUGAUCCAGCGACGCCGCGUGAGUGAAGAAGUAUUUCGGUAUGUAAAGCUCUGUCAGCAGGGAAGAAAGAAAUGACGGUACCUGACCAAGAAGCCCCGGCUAACUACGUGCCAGCAGCCGCGGUAAUACGUAGGGGGCAAGCGUUAUCCGGAUUUACUGGGUGUAAAGGGAGCGUAGACGGCCAUGCAAGUCUGAUGUGAAAACCCGGGGCUCAACCCCGGGACUGCAUUGGAAACUGUGCGGCUGGAGUGUCGGAGAGGCAAGUGGAAUUCCUAGUGUAGCGGUGAAAUGCGUAGAUAUUAGGAGGAACACCAGUGGCGAAGGCGGCUUACUGGACGAUCACUGACGCUGAGGCUCGAAAGUGUGGGGAGCAAACAGGAUUAGAUACCCCAGUA
rnacentral:rRNA from 1 species